GUUUCAAUUCCUCAUAGGCAGGCUAUCGGCGAAGACAUAUUGACGGUUUUCAUCCGCAAUGAUAUUG
rnacentral:sRNA from 1 species